GAUGAACGCUGGCGGCGUGCCUAAUACAUGCAAGUCGAGCGAACGGACGAGAAGCUUGCUUCUCUGAUGUUAGCGGCGGACGGGUGAGUAACACGUGGAUAACCUACCUAUAAGACUGGGAUAACUUCGGGAAACCGUAGCUAAUACCGGAUAAUAUUUUGAACCGCAUGGUUCAAAAGUGGAAGACGGUCUUGCUGUCACUUAUAGAUGGAUCCGCGCUGCAUUAGCUAGUUGGUAAGGUAACGGCUUACCAAGGCAACGAUGCAUAGCCGACCUGAGAGGGUGAUCGGCCACACUGGAACUGAGACACGGUCCAGACUCCUACGGGAGGCAGCAGUAGGGAAUCUUCCGCAAUGGGCGAAAGCCUGACGGAGCAACGCCGCGUGAGUGAUGAAGGUCCUCGGAUCGUAAAACUCUGUUAUUAGGGAAGAACAUAUGUGUAAGUAACUGUGCACAUCUUGACGGUACCUAAUCAGAAAGCCACGGCUAACUACGUG
rnacentral:rRNA from 1 species